CCCAUUCUCUCCCGCCCCUCCUUGGUUGAGCAUUUCUACCAUGUGUAAGCACACGUCAGUCAUGGCUCAUUCACCCAGAGCUCAUGGCUGGCAGGCAGCCUCAGCCACUACAGCCAGACCCAGGAGGGAGGGUGGAGGUGUGCUGAAGCCGCCAGCACUCAUGUCAGCUCUGCCGGCGGGAUCACGAGAAGUCCUCUCCAGGUUUUACUCACAUCCAUUAUCUGUAAUUGUCAAGAGCUCAGCCUACCACGUUGACCUGAAGAAUGAAGUUUCUGUUCUGCCUUGAGGACCUGUCCUGACUUCCUCCGGUGACAAGCUGUGACCCAGAAAGAUGGUGAUGGCAGCAGCAGUGACCUCACACGGUGAGCGGUACUGUGCUCCGUGGGGACCAGACAGCACAGACCCCAGCGGCCUUCUUAUGGGACUUUGUCACGUGUCUGGUCUUAUAUGCAGUUAUAAUUUCUUCUCUUAAAUGCAGUUCCCUAAGAGAGGAGCCCCGCCAGAGGAAGCGCUUUAUCUUUGCCCACUGACACUUUGACAUCUGCCUCUUCCACUCCCGCGAGUCACUUGAUCCAUGCUCUCUCUGGUGUGAAGUAACAACGCACACCUCACGUUCUUAAGUGCAGCAUGGAGCUCACCACCAGCUCACAUACACGCUACAAAGCCCCCGCUUUGUGUUGGGGCAGUGUGAGCUCUGCCACGCGGGGAAGGCGGGAGUCCUCUCUGUAAGGAACAUUGCGGAAGGCACGAGGGAGGAGGUGAGAGCUGGAAACACCGCUCACCAUAAAGCACACUGUGAACGAGGCCAAGAGGACAGAUAGACAAUGGGGACAGGUGGAUCCUACAGCAGUGGUUCUCAACCUUCCUAAGGCUGCGGCCCUUUAACACAGUUCCUCAUGUUGUGGUGACCCCCAACCAUAAAAUCACUUG